rnacentral:rRNA from 1 species
UACGGGGGGGGCAAGCGUUGUUCGGAGUUACUGGGCGUAAAGGGCUCGUAGGCGGCCAACUAAGUCAGACGUGAAAUCCCUCGGCUUAACCGGGGAACUGCAUCUGAUACUGGAUGGCUUGAGAUUGGGAGAGGGAUGCGGAAUUCCAGGUGUAGCGGUGAAAUGCGUAGAUAUCUGGAGGAACACCGGUGGCGAAGGCGGCAUCCUGGACCAAUACUGACGCUGAGGAGCGAAAGCCAGGGGAGCAAACGGG